UACAGAGGUCCCAAGCGUUGUUCGGAUUCAUUGGGCGUAAAGGGUGCGUAGGUGGCGCCGUAAGUGGGGUGUGAAAUUUCGGAGCUUAACUCCGAAACUGCAUUCCAUACUGCGGUGCUUGAGGACUGGAGAGGAGACUGGAAUUCAUGGUGUAGCAGUGAAAUGCGUAGAGAUCAUGAGGCAGACCAGUGGCGCAGGCGGGUCUCUGGACAGUUCCUGACACUGAGGCACGAAGGCCAGGGGAGCGAACGGG
rnacentral:rRNA from 1 species